CUGUCACAACGGCUUCCUGGCGUGACGGUGCACACACCAAUGGAGCA
rnacentral:ncRNA from 1 species